GGUUUAAAGGUGUGUGACAUACUAGGCUUUCUUCCUAGAGUAGGCCUCUUAAACUU
rnacentral:tRNA from 1 species